rfam:Streptococcus lutetiensis 033, complete genome.
AAUUCGUUAGUUUAAAUCAAACCUGUUAUGAUUUAAGUUAAUAAAUCGCCGCCAACCAUGCUGUUUGCUGAGCUUGACUCCGGGCAGUGUGGUUUAUUU